rnacentral:rRNA from 1 species
AUACGGAGGAUCCGAGCGUUAUCCGGAUUUAUUGGGUUUAAAGGGUGCGCAGGCGGCCAUUUAAGUCAGCGGUUAAAUCUUGGGGCUCAACCCCAUUCUGCCGUUGAUACUGGGUGGCUUGAUUGCGGUCGAGGUUGGCGGAAUUCGUUGUGUAGCGGUGAAAUGCAUAGAUAUGACGAAGAACACCGAUUGCGUAGGCAGCUGACCAGACCGCAAAUGACGCUCAUGCACGAAAGUGCGGGGAUCGAACAGGAUUAGAUACCCUGGUAGUCCGCACAGUAAACGAUGAAUACUUGUUUUCGGCGAUAUAAUGUCGGAGGCAAAGCGAAAGCGAUAAGUAUUCCACCUGGGGAGUACGCCGGCAACGGUGAAACUCAAAGGAAUUG